rnacentral:lncRNA from 1 species
CUGAGUCAAUCCCACUCACUAAGCAACAACAGCCAUAAUCCGAAAAGAAGAACACAAGUUAACAUCAUCGGUAACCACUGAGCCGCAGGUUUUAUGUCGGAGUUAUCCCAGUUACCUGAGUUACCAUCUCUUAGAAGGAUGCCCUAACAGAGGCUUAGUGUCCUUCACUCCCAAUGGUUUAACCGCGCGAUCGGAUAUUCAGUCCGAUUAUUUCUAUGUCCCCGCGCAUAAUACAGCCUUAAGACAUUUAUUGGAUGGCCGUUGACCCUCAAAAGUUCCUCCGUCCUUUGACGGGUUUUGUUUUUCAUCCCGCAGGGUGUCCAAUAAACACCCUCCUCACCAAGCAAGCUUGGUGGGGUUGCCGGUUUAGUCGCCGACGACCCGACCAUGCAACAGGUUGUACUGGGUUACAUGUUACCAGUAGCACUCGAAAGUGACCUGACAUAUAUAUAUAUAUAUAUAUAUAUAUAUAUAUAUAUAUAUACAUAUACACACACAUAUAUGCUUAUUUUGCAUGUUUAUGACAGACCAUCAAAGGUGAAGACAAUUUCCAUCCAAGACGUCCAUCCACAUCCGCCUGCCACACAUUAUUAUUUUUCAUGGGAGCGAUACAAGAUAGGUGGAUCCUGUAGCACUGAGAGGAAUUAAAGUACUGAAAGUCUUCCGCAAAUGAUCCGCAAGGGGAGUGGGGGUGAUGACGACGUCCUUUCCUCUCUUCAUGCAUUUUCCUGCGUACGGUUUCAAAGUGCUCUACUCGAGCGUCACACACAGAACUCACUGCCGUCCGGUGAACAGUCAGAGGCUCCAACUGAUUGGAAAGGACACUCCGCAAAAACGAGAGACUACUUGAUAUGACCAUGGAAACAAAGUUUUGGACAUCUUUGAGGCCAUCUUCUUCUCUUGAACUCGUUGAAGAUGCUGUGGAAGCCUGUUACCAGGCAUCUGAAUUACAUGGUUAGUCUAGCGAAGGAGACGGCGGAGUAUGCAGGUAUCAGCACCUGUAGAUCCCAACCCUCAAGAGGACUUCAGUAUGAGGCACCUUUCCCUUUAACGUCAGACUGAAGAUAUUUUGGAGUGAUCUCUUCUAGCUGAUUUAUCUAGCACCGAUGCACUAGCACUCAGACUCAUACCGGAGGGUGGGUAUGAAGACAGCUCAAUAUACGGAAAUUUUUGUACUUGCUCUAAGGGUCAUGUUCUAAGAGAUUUGUUAGCUGAGUCUCCCGAAAGAUGUAGAAGCCAAGAUGUUCCGACGGGAGUAUCUCCUAGUCAGCGAGUUUUAGAGUUUUAGAGAUAGUGUUUCGAAGAUAGCAUAAUGAGUCCUCUUGCAGUAGGAGAAGGUCAUCAGUAACGAUAGGCUGAGAGGGAGGUUAAUACAGGAAGGCUGAAUGGAAAACUUUAGUUUCAUUUGAUUCUCUUGAAGGCCGUGCCCAGAAAAGGCACUAUUCAUUGAGAUCAACGUAUGUUGAAGAGAGGUUGGUGUUUGAGAUGGUGUAGACGAAUCGUUAGCACAUUGAAUCUACUACACCGUUGUUGAAAGAAUUUUUGGUGUGGCUUUCAGGCGGCGGGCGUUAAAGAUGCUGCCAUCAUAGCAGUGCGUAAUAUGAAUUCCGUCUUCUUCAGUGAAAUGUCACCUGGAGAGAGGGGUUACUGUCACUAUGUAAAUGAUAAAUAGUACAGGGACAAGGCUGCAUCCUUGUUUCAUCUCCACCUGCACAUAAAAGGUUUCCGAGACAUCACAGCCGAGUGUCACUCUUGCCGGCAUACCAGCAUGACACUUCUGGACGAUUGAGAGAAAGGUUGAUGGACAGCCUAACAUCUGAAGCAGAUACCAUAACAGGAAAGUAAGUUGAGCAUGUCAAACGCUUUUCUUAGAUAUUUAAGGAGUAGCAUAUGUCCCUCCACUGUUCACGACGCUUUUCAAAGAGAAGACGAGCCACGAUAUAUCUCACAAAUUUUCCUUUCUAGUCGAAAUUCAUACUGGGACCCAAGCAUAACCAAGUUGAUUGCAUGAAAUAGUAGAUAGUCGGAGGAGAUUAUGUAAAAAGGAUCUUGCCGGUGUUAGGAAGAAGAGAAAUAAUUCUGCUUCUGUAUGGUCUCCCUUGGGCUUAUAGACUGACAAGAUUAGUGUGUCCACCUGACCGGUAUGGUUUCUGCCAACAGAAAAGGCACAAAGAGUGAAUAUAGGAUGUAAAGUGAGGUCCGUCAUUGCUUUAAUCCCAUCUUCACUAGCAAAUUUCUUGUUUUUGAGACUACAGGUGGAUGUCAUCAAGUGUUGUUGGUGGUUAAGCUAUCUCAAGUAAGGAAAAUCUGGAAUUUCUUCAAUUGCUGUAGAGUCCGUAGUGUUGACUCGAUUCAGAAGUUCUUAAAACUGUUCGACCAAAUUGUGAAGUAUCGUAGUUUUCUCUUUCAAUAAGGUACCACUUGAGUAGCCUUCUUUACGCGUGUACCGAAGAUUCUCUUAAUCGAGUCGUGGAAUGCAUAUGCUUUGUUCUCGUUUGCAAAAUCUUGCGUUUCGAAGAUACCAAUUGUUUUGAGCAUUACUGAUGAAACAUUGUAUGGUGGUACGAGAAUCCUGCCACUUUUAAUGCAAUGCUCCAGAUCCCGGCUUGGAGAGAACAGCAUCGUGAAGAUUGAGUGCCGGAGGUCGUUGAUGUCGUCUUGAAUGAAGUGGCAAGAUUUUGAUCGAGGAUGCAUCCGGGAGAAUUUGUAGAUUGUUGGGAAAUGCAAAACUGUGAUGGUAAUGACAAUUCCAUGCUGAGAGCAGAUAGCUAGAAAACGAAUCCCACGUACUGUUCAUUUUCCCAACGUCAUGAUGGCCAAUUACGCCAUGUCAGGUAAGAAGACUUUGACUCUUGGCAUUAAAGUCAUGAGAUUGCCAGACUUGGACAUCCUUCGGUUGACGUUGUCCAAGAACAUGUGGAACAUGUCCUUGGAUUUUUUCAGAAAAGUCGAAGGUGGGGGCAGCGGCACUGAUGAGGUUGUUGUAUGUACCUUCGGAGAGAGCGAGUCAGAGUGAUGGUACGUUUACGCUGUCCCACAGGAAGUUCUACCAUCAUAUUUCCAAGGAAGGUCUUCAUAGCGGUAGCCACUCCAUAAGUUCGGUUCUCUCUAUCGGAGACACCCCUGCUGUGGAAUGUGCAUCCGUCGCCCUGUUCAAUAGAAAGCCCUUAUAUCCACGUUCUAGGGGUUUAGGUUCCGAUGCAUCCAGGGAAAUCCUUCGAGAGGACCAUUAGAUUAAGGAAUAUAAAGUAAAAUUCUGACAUUCCAGGAGUCAAACAUUUAAAAAACAUUUUGACUUCUUUAGAGGAAUGACCUGCGAGGUGUUGUCUUCGACCGGAUAGAACGUAGUAAAGUAUGUUUGGGUUACUUUUUCUAGGCCGUUCUUCGGCUUGAGGUAGGCUGUACUUUCCCUAUGAGCAGGACCAAAGGAGUCUGUUGUCUCUUGGUGCAGACUUCAGCAACCGUCUUACUGAUACCGAUAUCGUGCGAGCUUCGAGCUUCGAGCUAGAGGCUUCCAGCAUCAUCCAUAAGGACCUCCGUCACCAGCUGCCUAUUGCCGUUAAACGUAUGAGUAAGAAAAGAAAAAGAGGAGAAGAAAAAGGAAGGAGGAAGGCUAAGAUAGUUCGAACUCUGCGCAAAGAUUCGUUUACAAUGAUGAGAAGGGCGCGCAAUCCUGCAAACACAACUUGAUUUCUCCACAACGGGUCCAGUGACAAGGAGGAAAUCCAGGAAAAUUGGGGUCGAGGACAAGUUGCAACGAUCUGUGCGUCCACGAUAUAUAGGCGAGUGCCUUUACAGCAACCUCACUUGACUUUUUCAUGAUGUAGCUAAUAGCAACUAAAAAAAAAACCAGGUUGCCGCAGAAUGUUGGACAGACGGAGACGCUGCGUAUCCAGGGUAGCCGCCAGAUACUGCAACAGACACUGUUCUUGACUUGAUGAAGGAAGGAUAUAUAUGUGUGAGUGUGUGUGUGUGUGUGUGUGUGUGUGUGUGUGUGUGUGUGUGUGUGUGUGUGUGUGUGUCCGUGCGUGCGCUCGUGUGUGUGACGGAACAAAGUGGUCAAUACUACAUUUCUAAAACUCCGGCUUAGGAUUAUUGAGCUAAGUAACCCCUGCCUGACUGGAUAUAAAGAAAUAAGCUGGAGUUUGAGACGUACAGAGUUCGAUUCUCUGUACGGCUUACUGGUCACAUUUUUUCACCUUCGUCUUCUAAGUUACUUUCACAACUUUUCUGCGUUCUGGAUUCCCCCUAUUUCCUGUAAGUAGUAUAAAUGUGUGUGUGUGUGUGUGUGUGUCGUAUGUCUGUAUAUAUAUAUAUAUAUAUAUAUAUAUAUAUAUAUAUAUAUAUAUAUAUAUAUAUAUAUAUAUAUAUAUAUAUAUAUAUAUAUAUAUGCAUAUAUAUAUAUAUAUAUAUAUAUAUAUAUAUAUAUAUAUAUAUAUAUAUAUAUAUAUUUACACAGAGUGUGUGUACGUGUGCGUGUGUGUGCAUAUGCAUGGAUCUGUGUGUUUUUACAAGUCACUGUGUUUGCAUGUGCGUGUGUUUAUCUGUCAAACUUCUGCCAUUUCCUUCUCUUCCUUCUCUUUUUCGACUCGUGUCUAUAUGUGUAUGUGUGUGUGUAUCUAUGUGGGCGUGUGGGCGUGAGUCCGCGUGCGCAUUUGUGUGUAUAGGACGCUAGAAUAAAACUUGCAGUGGUUUCCGAGGAAUACACUAAAUUCCAGAUUAUUUGUUUUACUUCAACCAUUUGAACGACUACACGCACUAUUUAUUUAAAGAAAAAGUGCAUAAAUUCAUAUGAAUCUCAUGAGGCGUAACAAUACUUGAGCUAUAGUCGUCUCGGAAGGCAAAGCCGCCUUUUAAAUAUCUUUCCAUGCGGAACGGAACUGCAAUGACGAUAUAACGAUAUGACCAGAGUGGCGUGUCUUAGAACUGGGUUGAAAGAACGCUAAACUUGAAAGAUAGAAGAGCAGCGGUGAGUGACUAAUUUGCUUCGAUAAUCGAUAGAUAUCUACGUGUAAAUGAUCAGAUAUCGGCUAGUUGAUAUAUCUAAUAAUUGAUUCAUUCUAGAAUACACAGAUGUCAGAAAAUUCAAUUCUGUCAACCAUCAUCACAGGGUAGGUGUUAUUAGGAUACCGUGAGAGAUGUAAUGAUACAGCUUAUCAGCAGAAUUUGUGGCUAGUCUCAUUUCGAAAUAUGUUUAUUAAAUGUCUCUUGGUUACAGCUUGUUUCAUGGAAUGGGAUUGCAUUUGAAAUAAUGCGAGGUUCUCAGAAUCUGUAACAUUUGAUACCAUGAGCCGGAUAAACAUCAGAGUUUACAUACAAUGUCAUGAGUGAAGGACUUGAAGGGUUUUAGGGAUCUCGGUAAUUAUGAAUAAGCACUCAACCUUAUGCUUCUAUUUUCAUUUUUCGGGUCACAUGAUAUUAGUUUCUCUCUUUUACUCUUUUACUUGUUUCAGUCUGUGGCCAUGCUGGAGCACCACCUUUAGUCGAGCAAAUCGACCCCAGGGCUUAUUCUCUGUAAGCCUAGUACUUAUUCUAUUGUUGUCUUUUGCUGAACCGCUAAGUUCGGGGAAUAAACACACUAGCAUCGGUUGUCAAGCGAUGUUGGGGGAUAAACACACACACAUAAACACACACACACACACACACAUACACACACACAUAUAUAUAUACAAAUAUACGACGGGCUUCUUUCAGUUUCCAUCUGCCAAAUCCAUUCACAAGGCUUUGGUCGUCCCGAGGCUAUAGUAGAAGAUAGUUGCCCAAGAUGCCACGCAGUGGGACUGAACCUGGAACCAUGUGGUUGGUAAGCAAGCUACUUUCCACACAGCCACUCCUACGCCAUGUGGAAGGGUUAUUCAAUCUUACCCUACCGUUCAACAAAUAAUAGAAAUUAUGAUUAUCAUUAUUAUUAUUAUAAAAAUAGUGUUCUGGCGGAAAUGUUUGCACGCCGGACAUAAUACUCAGCGGCAUUUCUUCUGUUUUUAUGUUUUGAGUUGAAAUUCUGCGAAGAUUGACUUUGCCUUUCAUCCUUUUGGAGUAAAAUAUAAGUACCCACCAAGUAAUAGGAAAGGUGUAAUUGACUGAGCCCUUACCUACCCACCCUAAAUUGUUGAUCUUUUGCCGACACUUGAAUGUAAUAUUUUUAUAUGGGGUGGUUUAACAGAAUUCUUUAGAUUCCGAGAAAACGCCAAGCGGUACUCAUUCAAGUCCCUAUUACCUAUUCUCAAUCCAGAGUCGAUUAAACAAUGUACUAUUUAAAUAUAGGAUCUGUCUUUAUCAACUAAGUUCCUCCCAUUCCAAACUGCUUACCUAGUACCUAAAUUAGAAACGACGAUUUUUUUAGUAAACAGUGGAGGUCACAAUUUGUAUAUUGUCAGACACAUGUAACCAAACAAAAUUUAGUUAGGUCCCUUUAAAAUCUGAUUUUAAAUUUAGUUGCUCUCAACUUCCAUUGUUUUCUGGAAGCAGUGAAAUAAUUGCUAUGGAAGUACUAGUUUCAAAUAAAUCAGCUGCAUCCUAUAACAGCAAAUUGUGGCCUUAUUUACAUUAUUUACAUUCGACGGGUAUUUGUCUUCGUCAUGUUUGUUAUUAACACAACGUUUCAGCUGAUAUAUCCGCCAGCCUUCUUCAGGUGACUUGGGGAAAUUUCGAACCUGGGUUCUCAUUCCUAAGGUAUUUUUCAAUGUUAUCAUUAUUGUUAUUAUUAUUAUUAUUAUUAUUAUUAUUAUUAUUAUUAUUAUUAUUAUUAUUAUUAUUAUUAUUAUUUAUAUAAUAUUAUUGUUAUUCUUCAGAUCACUGCUUGGAAUCGAACUGGGAAUCUUGGGACUAGUAGCCCGCGUUCUUAACCCCAAAAUUCCGAGUUCGAUUCCAAGCAGUGACCUGAACAAUAACAAUAAUAAUAAUAAUAAUAAUAAUAAUAAUAAUAAUAAUAAUAAUAAUAAUAAUAACGAAAAAUAUCUUAGGAAUGAGAACCCAGGUUCGAAGUUUCCCCAAGACACAUGAAGAAGGCUUGAGGGCAUAUAAACCAAAACGUUGUGUUAACAACAAGCAGCAUGAGGACAAAUAUACCGAAUGUAAAUAAUGUAAAUAACGUACAUAAUUCCUCAACUCUUAAAUAUAGAACUGAAUCUGUGGCCUGUUAUUGAGGUUGGCUUGGCAGAAAUGUAAGAGAUAAGCAAUAAUAGUUUUAAAGAAUACCUCUCUAGUGCUCUCUUCUAUUCUACUUUGUCUUUCAUGUAUCAGUGAUCGAUAAAACAAUUACCAUUUCAAUAGUGAUCGAUAGUUCUCUAUGAAAUAUAUAGCCGCAAGUUUAGUUAAAGGAAAUCCUUAUGAUUAUAGAUUAUAGGGUUAUUGUAAAAUGUCUUCCAGUUGGCAUCACACCAUGGCACUGAAAAAUUUGAACCGAAUAUUGCAGCUGAAUAAUAUACUCAUUAGUUCAAUUGCGUGUACCACCUGCAGACGCCAGCUUCACAUGGUCUGACUCGAUGCUAUCGGUUUACAACAAAAUUGUCAUAUCUAUAACUUUACGCCUUCACUACCACGUCGCCACAAGAGACCAAGAUCAAGUUGUUGAAGUGUUAUUGUUAAUAAUAUUGUUGUUAUCCAUGUAAUUUUCUUUAUAAAUGUUAUUACAUUAUAUUGUUGAUUGAAGAUGUUUUUUAUUCUUUACAAAAUAUAAUGAUUACAACAAUUAAACUCAUUAAACUAAUAUAAAGAAAUAAAACACGUUUUUCUUAUAUGUAUAUAUAUACAUAUAUAUAUAUAUAUAUAUAUAUACAUAUAUAUAUAUAUACAUAUAUAUAUACAUAUAUAUAUGUAUACAUAUAUAUAUAUAUUACAUAUAUAUAUAUAUAUAUAUAUAUAUAUAUAUAUAUAUAUAUAUAUAUAUAUAUAUAUAUAUAUAUAUAUAUAUAUAUAUAUAUAUAUAUAUAUAUAUAUAUUUAUAUAAAUAAACAUACAAAUUUCCACACGAAAGCACGUAAUCUAUGCCCUAGGCCCGAAAUUUCAACCGUGUCUUUUCUGAUGUUAAUUUGCUACCCAGGUAUCGGUUAAUUCGAAUUAUCCUUAAUAAGAUAAUUCAUUCAACUACUAUUACAUAUAUAUAUGUAUUAUAUAUAUAUAUAUAUAUAUAUAUAUAUAUAUAUAUAUAUAUAUAUAUAUAUAUAUAUAUAUAUAUAUAUAUAUAUAUAUAUAUAUAUAUUAUUUAUAUUUAUAUAUAUACAAUUAAAUAUCUCUAUAUGAGCAUUUUACCUAAAAGGUUACUUUUGGUAUGUUGGCCACUGAUAAAAUUCAUUAAUCGUAAUGAUUGUAUCUUUUAAUUAUGUUUAGGUGUAUCACAUUCACUCUAGGACUGUUAAUUUACUUCAGUACUAUUCUGAUUCAAUACACACUUGUCGAGGUGGACUACGAAGUACGAUGUGUAUGUAUUUGUGAAUAUUUGUAUGCAUUCGUAUUUUGCCUGUGCUUUUCUGUGGAUAUUAAUAAAUAUUUUUUAUUUAUUUCGCAGCGUAUGUUCUGCAGAUGAAGGGACAGUUGUUAAAC